rnacentral:rRNA from 1 species
UAGCGGUGAAAUGCUUAGAUAUCACGAAGAACUCCGAUUGCGAAGGCAGCUUACUAACCUGUAACUGACAUUGAUGCUCGAAAGUGUGGGUAUCAAACAGGAUUAGAUACCCUGGUAGUCCACACGGUAAACGAUGAAUACUCGCUGUAGGCGAUAUACGGUCUGCGGCCAAGCGAAAGCAUUAAGUAUUCCACCUGGGGAGUACGCCGGCAACGGUGAAACUCAAAGGAAUUGACGGGGGCCCGCACAAGCGGAGGAACAUGUGGUUUAAUUCGAUGAUACGCGAGGAACCUUACCCGGGCUUAAAUUGCAACUGACGGAAUCGGAAACGGUUCUUUCUUCGGACAGUUGUGAAGGUGCUGCAUGGUUGUCGUCAGCUCGUGCCGUGAGGUGUCGGCUUAAGUGCCAUAACGAGCGCAACCCUUAUCGAUAGUUACUAGCAGGUCAUGCUGAGGACUCUAUUGAGACUGCCGUCGUAAGAUGUGAGGAAGGUGGGGAUGACGUCAAAUCAGCACGGCCCUUACGUCCGGGGCUACACACGUGUUACAAUGGGGGGUACAGAGGGCUGCUACCACGCAAGUGGAUGCCAAUCCCAAAAACCUCUCUCAGUUCGGAUUGAAGUCUGCAACCCGACUUCAUGAAGCUGGAUUCGCUAGUAAUCGCGCAUCAGCCACGGCGCGGUGAAUACGUUCCCGGGCCUUGUACACACCGCCCGUCAAGCCAUGGGAGCCGGGGGUACCUGAAGUGCGUAACCGCAAGGAGCGCCCUAGGGUAAAACUGGUGACUGGGGCUAAGUCGUAACAAGGUAGCCGUACCGGAAGGUGCGGCUG